CGGAGGGUGCAAGCGUUGUCCGGAUUUAUUGGGUUUAAAGGGUGCGUAGGUGGCCUCUUAAGUCCGUUCUGAAAGCUGGUCGCUUAACGAUCAGGGGUGGAUGGAUACUGGGGGGCUUGGAUCAGGUGGCGGUUUCUGGAACGGGUCGUGUAGCGGUGAAAUGCAUAGAUAUGACCCAGAACUCCGAUUGCGAAGGCAGGAGGCUACGCCUGGAUUGACACUGAGGCACGAGAGCAUGGGGGAGCAAACAGGAUU
rnacentral:rRNA from 1 species